rnacentral:misc_RNA from 1 species
UUUCUGAAUAAGAUCCAUCCUUCCUUGCACAUCUCUUAAACACACUUCGAUCUAAUUUCAUGAAUCAGUCUAUUUUAAUGACUUGGGUAUUAUUAUCUCAAAAAAGAAAGAAGAUGUUGGUAAUUAGAGAUGUUGUCUUUGUCUUGCAUUUUCACAUGUCACGUAAAUGCUCGCACUCAUUGGUUUCAGAUUAAAAUGGUUAGAUUUUUCUCUGGUUGUCAAAUGUAAUUGACUUACAGUUUUAGAUACUUUUGUCAUGGACAUUUAACAUUAAUAUUUUUAACUUGUUUAACUUGCUUUGUCUCUCAAAUCUCAAACUUGAAUUGUAUGGGUUCUUG